CCCCUAGAUGUUCUGGGCCGCACGCGCGCUACACUGAACAGUUCAACAAGGCUUAACCUUGGCCGAUAGGUCUGGGUAAUCUUUGAACGCUGUUCGUGAUUGGGAUAGACCUUUGCAAUUAUGGGUCUUCAACGAGGAAUUCCUAGUAAACGCAAGUCAUCAGCUUGCAUUGAUUACGUCCCUGCCCUUUGUACACACCGCCCGUCGCACCUACCGAUUGAAUGGUCCGGUGAAAUCUCGGGACGGCGGCUUGGUCGCUUGCGUCCGACUGCUGAAACUUGAUUAAACCAUAUCAUUUAGAGGAAGGUGAAGUCGUANCA
rnacentral:rRNA from 1 species